UACGUAGGUGGCGAGCGUUGUCCGGAAUUACUGGGUGUAAAGGGAGCGUAGGCGGGAGUGCAAGUUGAAUGUUAAAUCCAUCGGCUCAACCGAUAGCCGCGUUCAAAACUGCAUUUCUUGAGUGAAGUAGAGGUUGGCGGAAUUCCUAGUGUAGCGGUGAAAUGCGUAGAUAUUAGGAGGAACACCAGUGGCGAAGGCGGCCAACUGGGCUUUACUGACGCUGAGGCUCGAAAGCGUGGGGAGCAAACAGGAUUAGAUACCCGUGUAGUCCCUGA
rnacentral:rRNA from 1 species